UCUCCGUUGGUGAACCAGCGGAGGGAUCAUUACAGAGUUGCAAAACUCCCAAACCAUUGUGAACGUUACCUAUCCCGUUGCUUCGGCGGGCGGCCCGGGCCCCGCGCCCGGCGCCCCCCGGCCCCCCGUGGGCGCCCGCCGGAGGUAAACCAAACCCUUGAAUUGCAUGGCCUCUCUAAGUCUUCUGUACUGAAUAAGUCAAAACUUUCAACAACGGAUCUCUUGGUUCUGACAUCGAUGAAGAACGCAGC
rnacentral:misc_RNA from 1 species